GGGUUGUGAGGUUAAGCGACUAAGCGUACACGGUGGAUGCCCUGGCAGUCAGAGGCGAUGAAGGACGUGCUAAUCUGCGAAAAGCGUCGGUAAGGUGAUAUGAACCGUUAUAACCGGCGAUGUCCGAAUGGGGAAACCCAGUGUGAUUCGUCACACUAUCGUUAACUGAAUACAUAGGUUAACGAGGCGAACCGGGGGAACUGAAACAUCUAAGUACCCCGAGGAAAAGAAAUCAACCGAGAUUCCCCCAGUAGCGGCGAGCGAACGGGGAGCAGCCCAGAGUCUGAAUCAGCUUGUGUGUUAGUGGAACGGUCUGGAAAGUCCGACGGUACAGGGUGAUAGUCCCGUACACCAAAAUGCACAGGUUGUGAACUCGAAGAGUAGGGCGGGACACGUGGUAUCCUGUCUGAAUAUGGGGGGACCAUCCUCCAAGGCUAAAUACUCCUGACUGACCGAUAGUGAACCAGUACCGUGAGGGAAAGGCGAAAAGAACCCCGGCGAGGGGAGUGAAAAAGAACCUGAAACCGUGUACGUACAAGCAGUGGGAGCACCUUAGGGUGUGACUGCGUACCUUUUGUAUAAUGGGUCAGCGACUUAUAUUCUGUAGCAAGGUUAACCGUAUAGGGGAGCCGCAGGGAAACCGAGUCUUAACUGGGCGUUAAGUUGCAGGGUAUAGACCCGAAACCCGGUGAUCUAGCCAUGGGCAGGUUGAAGGUUGGGUAACACUAACUGGAGGACCGAACCGACUAAUGUUGAAAAAUUAGCGGAUGACUUGUGGCUGGGGGUGAAAGGCCAAUCAAACCGGGAGAUAGCUGGUUCUCCCCGAAAGCUAUUUAGGUAGCGCCUCGUGAACUCAUCUUCGGGGGUAGAGCACUGUUUCGGCUAGGGGGUCAUCCCGACUUACCAACCCGAUGCAAACUACGAAUACCGAAGAAUGUUAUCACGGGAGACACACGGCGGGUGCUAACGUCCGUCGUGAAGAGGGAAACAACCCAGACCGCCAGCUAAGGUCCCAAAGUCAUGGUUAAGUGGGAAACGAUGUGGGAAGGCACAGACAGCCAGGAUGUUGGCUUAGAAGCAGCCAUCAUUUAAAGAAAGCGUAAUAGCUCACUGGUCGAGUCGGCCUGCGCGGAAGAUGUAACGGGGCUAAACCAUGCACCGAAGCUGCGGCAGCGACACUAUGUGUUGUUGGGUAGGGGAGCGUUCUGUAAGCCUGCGAAGGUGACCUGUGAGGGUUGCUGGAGGUAUCAGAAGUGCGAAUGCUGACAUAAGUAACGAUAAAGCGGGUGAAAAGCCCGCUCGCCGGAAGACCAAGGGUUCCUGUCCAACGUUAAUCGGGGCAGGGUGAGUCGACCCCUAAGGCGAGGCCGAAAGGCGUAGUCGAUGGGAAACAGGUUAAUAUUCCUGUACUUGGUGUUACUGCGAAGGGGGGACGGAGAAGGCUAUGUUAGCCGGGCGACGGUUGUCCCGGUUUAAGCAUGUAGGCUGGUUAUCCAGGCAAAUCCGGAUAAUCAAGGCUGAGGUGUGAUGACGAGGCACUACGGUGCUGAAGUAACAAAUGCCCUGCUUCCAGGAAAAGCCUCUAAGCAUCAGGUAACAUCAAAUCGUACCCCAAACCGACACAGGUGGUCAGGUAGAGAAUACCAAGGCGCUUGAGAGAACUCGGGUGAAGGAACUAGGCAAAAUGGUGCCGUAACUUCGGGAGAAGGCACGCUGGUGUGUAGGUGAAGCCCCUGCGGGUGGAGCUGAGACCAGUCGAAGAUACCAGCUGGCUGCAACUGUUUAUUAAAAACACAGCACUGUGCAAACACGAAAGUGGACGUAUACGGUGUGACGCCUGCCCGGUGCCGGAAGGUUAAUUGAUGGGGUUAUCCGUAAGGAGAAGCUCUUGAUCGAAGCCCCGGUAAACGGCGGCCGUAACUAUAACGGUCCUAAGGUAGCGAAAUUCCUUGUCGGGUAAGUUCCGACCUGCACGAAUGGCGUAAUGAUGGCCAGGCUGUCUCCACCCGAGACUCAGUGAAAUUGAACUCGCUGUGAAGAUGCAGUGUACCCGCGGCAAGACGGAAAGACCCCGUGAACCUUUACUAUAGCUUGACACUGAACAUUGAGCCUUGAUGUGUAGGAUAGGUGGGAGGCUUUGAAGCGUGGACGCCAGUCUGCGUGGAGCCAACCUUGAAAUACCACCCUUUAAUGUUUGAUGUUCUAACGUUGGCCCCUAAUCGGGGUUGCGGACAGUGUCUGGUGGGUAGUUUGACUGGGGCGGUCUCCUCCCAAAGCGUAACGGAGGAGCACGAAGGUUAGCUAAUCCUGGUCGGACAUCAGGAGGUUAGUGCAAUGGCAUAAGCUAGCUUGACUGCGAGCGUGACGGCGCGAGCAGGUGCGAAAGCAGGUCAUAGUGAUCCGGUGGUUCUGAAUGGAAGGGCCAUCGCUCAACGGAUAAAAGGUACUCCGGGGAUAACAGGCUGAUACCGCCCAAGAGUUCAUAUCGACGGCGGUGUUUGGCACCUCGAUGUCGGCUCAUCACAUCCUGGGGCUGAAGUAGGUCCCAAGGGUAUGGCUGUUCGCCAUUUAAAGUGGUACGCGAGCUGGGUUUAGAACGUCGUGAGACAGUUCGGUCCCUAUCUGCCGUGGGCGCUGGAGAAUUGAGGGGGGCUGCUCCUAGUACGAGAGGACCGGAGUGGACGCAUCACUGGUGUUCGGGUUGUCAUGCCAAUGGCACUGCCCGGUAGCUAAAUGCGGAAGAGAUAAGUGCUGAAAGCAUCUAAGCACGAAACUUGCCCCGAGAUGAGUUCUCCCUGAGACUUUAAGUCUCCUGAAGGAACGUUGAAGACGACGACGUUGAUAGGCCGGGUGUGUAAGCGCAGCGAUGCGUUGAGCUAACCGGUACUAAUGAACCGUGAGGCUUAACCUUACAACGCCGAAG
rnacentral:rRNA from 1 species